rnacentral:lncRNA from 1 species
CUCGAGAUGCCCUUGUCACGGUUGGCUGCUACUCGAGAGGGCGGCCCACUCAUAGCUUGGGUCCUACUCGAUCGAGGUAUCCCCCAAUGAAAGGCCCGCAUGACUAAUAAGAUUGUGAUGUAUAUUGGAUCUGGCUCCAGUACCACCCAUUACAAACAUACAGCCCAAAAUGUUAAGCUUUGGAGGGCCGGCUCAAGCUAAUAAACCUAUGUAGCACCCUUUUAAGUCAAUUUGGGACUAUGACAAACAACUCCAAACUACUUCUAUAGUAUGCUCAUUUAUUGUUUCUACACUUAAACUGAGACAUGGUAUUAAAAAUUCAGCAAUAAAGGCACAAUUAAAAGCUUCAAAUGUAAUUAUUUCAUAUGAUGUGAUUAUAUUCAUAUGCUUGUUAGGAUGACUUGAUUAUCAUCUUUCACACGAACAACAAACCACCAAUACUGCAUUGUAAAUCCACUCCCACUUCAAACA